UAGGGAAUCUUCGGCAAUGGGGGAACCCUGACCGAGCAACGCCGCGUGAGUGAAGAAGGUUUUCGGAUCGUAAAGCUCUGUUGUUAAGGAAGAACGAGUGUGAGAAUGGAAAGUUCAUGCUGUGACGGUACUUAACCAGAAAGGGACGGCUAACUACGUGCCAGCAGCCGCGGUAAUACGUAGGUCCCGAGCGUUGUCCGGAUUUAUUGGGCGUAAAGCGAGCGCAGGCGGUUAGAAAAGUCUGAAGUGAAAGGCAGUGGCUCAACCAUUGUAGGCUUUGGAAACUGUUUAACUUGAGUGCAGAAGGGGAGAGUGGAAUUCCAUGUGUAGCGGUGAAAUGCGUAGAUAUAUGGAGGAACACCGGUGGCGAAAGCGGCUCUCUGGUCUGUAACUGACGCUGAGGCUCGAAAGCGUGGGGAGCGAACAGG
rnacentral:rRNA from 2 species